CAUGGAAGAGAAACCUUGAGGAGCAUGAAGGAGACAAUCAUGAAGCACGAUCCUGGAGAGAGGGAAUCACUGCACUGAGAUUUGAUCUACUUGGCAAGAAAUACCUGUUUUGAUGAAAAGAUUGGAUCUGAGUUAUGGAAUCUUUAUUCUGAAGGAGAGAUUAUAUGCAACAGCAAACAGCCAUUAACCAAGGGGAAAAGGAGCAGUCCAGUUACCUGCUGUUGGGUACAUUUCAAACCACCCCAUCACUGGAUCCAGAAUUACAAGGGUAAGAGGCCUAUUUCCUGAACUACAUCUUGAAAGCAAUUAGUUGAGGC
rnacentral:lncRNA from 1 species